UCCUUCUCUCCGUGUGAGUGUAUGUGUGUCUGUGUAUAUAUGUAUGUUAGUGACACACUACACUGCUAUGUGUGCUUGGUUGAUUUUAAAGAACUGGCCAUUGGCUAAAGGAAUUAGGAAAAAGCAGGUCUGUUUUCUCCACUUUCACAAAUGAGCUAUUCUUAGAUCACAUUUGAGAUGUCUGCUGAUGU